UCUUGUUUUAAUUUCUUUUAAAUACAUCUUUGUAAUUGACUUUAUGGGGACAUGUAUGUUAAGGCUGUGCAUCUGAUUAAAUUCUGAAAAGUAAAAAAGGAGAUCCUGAUACUGUCCAUACUCUUGCAACUGUUAUCCUAAUCUCUCAAGAACACCUAAGGACACUAAGGCUAUGAAGAAACAGAGAAUGACAACUGAAGUUCCAUUACAAGCUAAGGGGAUUAAUUUGAAGCAUGCUUUAAAACUGACUGGCAAAAGACCUUUCGAAGAGUAGGCAGAGGAAUACUUAUGUUUACCAGCUACAGUGAGGAUGAGGAUGAUACUAAAACAUGUUGUUAGUACUAUCUGAAACUAAACAAAGCACUGUGAUAAAUGAAAGAAAGAACAAGUCAGUACUUUCCUAACUUUUAGUAGACAUCACAAGUAUGUUCAGGCUUUAGCACCUUUAUGUAUUCUACUGAAUUGGUUACGGAUGGAACUUUAAAUAGUAGGUUCCAACUCAUUUACCGUUUGGCUAUAUGGUCUUCUAGAGCAUCUUAUGU